UUUUUUAGGAAAGAUGAUGUGGUUGGAGCAGAAUUUCCCUUCUUAACCUGUGCUUGGGAACUAGUGGGCUCUAACAUAUUUGUAACACUUGACAAUGUAUUUGAUGAGACGUUCCUCUUCUCCAAAUAAUUUUUGUGAGAUGGAGAAAAGCUCCCAUCUUCAAUGACCGGCAGAAGUAAUGAGGACACUGAAGUAUUUCCAUUCAGUAUAGAACCAGAUAUGGAAUUAGCACUGAUUCCUUUACAAAAAUGAUCCAACAUUGAAUGGGAAGCAGUUCCACGAAGGACCCGCUCUAGAGCUCCUGUCUUUACAUCCCAAAUGUACAAAACAUCAACAACAUCAGAUGUCCCUGAAUGGCUCUGGCAAAGACAUGCAAUGUAGCCUCUUGCACCAUCCCACACAACUUUUUCAGGAUAGCUAGGGUGUGAAGGAAACAUUCUCUCUACCCUUAAAGUUUCAAGAGAAGCAAGGGAAACACAUGAGUCCUCCCCAACAGAGAGAAAGCAAUCACUCCAUGGAUGUUCAGUCCAUGCGGGGGAAAAGAUUAUCUGGCGCACUGGAGCAACAUGCUGGUGCAACACUGUUAUCAGAUUUCCAGAGUCAAGAUCCCAUAUGCGAACUGAGUUGCAGUCUAUGCUUCCAGAAACUAAAACCUGACUGAAACUCCAUCCUUUGGCAUUACCCAACAUC
rnacentral:misc_RNA from 1 species